GAUGAACGCUGGCGGCGUGCCUAAUACAUGCAAGUCGAGCGAACAGAUAAGGGGCUUGCUCCUUUGACGUUAGCGGCGGACGGGUGAGUAACACGUGGGUAACCUACCUAUAAGACUGGGAUAACUUCGGGAAACCGGAGCUAAUACCGGAUAAUAUUUCGAACCGCGUGGUUCGAUAGUGAAAGAUGGUUUUGCUAUCACUUAUAGAUGGACCCGCGCCGUAUUAGCUAGUUGGUAAGGUAACGGCUUACCAAGGCGACGAUACGUAGCCGACCUGAGAGGGUGAUCGGCCACACUGGAACUGAGACACGGUCCAGACUCCUACGGGAGGCAGCAGUAGGGAAUCUUCCGCAAUGGGCGAAAGCCUGACGGAGCAACGCCGCGUGAGUGAUGAAGGUCUUCGGAUCGUAAAACUCUGUUAUUAGGGAAGAACAUACGUGUAAGUAACUGUGCACGUCUUGACGGUACCUAAUCAGAAAGCCACGGCUAACUACGUG
rnacentral:rRNA from 1 species